UUAAAUUGAAGAGUUUGAUCAUGGCUCAGAUUGAACGCUGGCGGCAGGCCUAACACAUGCAAGUCGAACGGUAACAGGAAGCAGCUUGCUGCUUUGCUGACGAGUGGCGGACGGGUGAGUAAUGUCUGGGAAACUGCCUGAUGGAGGGGGAUAACUACUGGAAACGGUAGCUAAUACCGCAUAACGUCGCAAGACCAAAGAGGGGGACCUUCGGGCCUCUUGCCAUCGGAUGUGCCCAGAUGGGAUUAGCUAGUAGGUGGGGUAACGGCUCACCUAGGCGACGAUCCCUAGCUGGUCUGAGAGGAUGACCAGCCACACUGGAACUGAGACACGGUCCAGACUCCUACGGGAGGCAGCAGUGGGGAAUAUUGCACAAUGGGCGCAAGCCUGAUGCAGCCAUGCCGCGUGUAUGAAGAAGGCCUUCGGGUUGUAAAGUACUUUCAGCGGGGAGGAAGGGAGUAAAGUUAAUACCUUUACUCAUUGACGUUACCCGCAGAAGAAGCACCGGCUAACUCCGUGCCAGCAGCCGCGGUAAUACGGAGGGUGCAAGCGUUAAUCGGAAUUACUGGGCGUAAAGCGCACGCAGGCGGUUUGUUAAGUCAGAUGUGAAAUCCCCGGGCUCAACCUGGGAACUGCAUCUGAUACUGGCAAGCUUGAGUCUCGUAGAGGGGGGUAGAAUUCCAGGUGUAGCGGUGAAAUGCGUAGAGAUCUGGAGGAAUACCGGUGGCGAAGGCGGCCCCCUGGACGAAGACUGACGCUCAGGUGCGAAAGCGUGGGGAGCAAACAGGAUUAGAUACCCUGGUAGUCCACGCCGUAAACGAUGUCGACUUGGAGGUUGUGCCCUUGAGGCGUGGCUUCCGGAGCUAACGCGUUAAGUCGACCGCCUGGGGAGUACGGCCGCAAGGUUAAAACUCAAAUGAAUUGACGGGGGCCCGCACAAGCGGUGGAGCAUGUGGUUUAAUUCGAUGCAACGCGAAGAACCUUACCUGGUCUUGACAUCCACGGAAGUUUUCAGAGAUGAGAAUGUGCCUUCGGGAACCGUGAGACAGGUGCUGCAUGGCUGUCGUCAGCUCGUGUUGUGAAAUGUUGGGUUAAGUCCCGCAACGAGCGCAACCCUUAUCCUUUGUUGCCAGCGGUCCGGCCGGGAACUCAAAGGAGACUGCCAGUGAUAAACUGGAGGAAGGUGGGGAUGACGUCAAGUCAUCAUGGCCCUUACGACCAGGGCUACACACGUGCUACAAUGGCGCAUACAAAGAGAAGCGACCUCGCGAGAGCAAGCGGACCUCAUAAAGUGCGUCGUAGUCCGGAUUGGAGUCUGCAACUCGACUCCAUGAAGUCGGAAUCGCUAGUAAUCGUGGAUCAGAAUGCCACGGUGAAUACGUUCCCGGGCCUUGUACACACCGCCCGUCACACCAUGGGAGUGGGUUGCAAAAGAAGUAGGUAGCUUAACCUUCGGGAGGGCGCUUACCACUUUGUGAUUCAUGACUGGGGUGAAGUCGUAACAAGGUAACCGUAGGGGAACCUGCGGUUGGAUCACCUCCUUACCUUAAAGAAGC
rnacentral:rRNA from 2 species